rnacentral:lncRNA from 1 species
UAAGAUUCUAGAGAAGUAUUCCACAUCAAGUAACAUAGACCGAUGUGAAAUGAAACAUGGUUGUCAUUUUUGUUUCUUCUGUUAUGUCAUACAUCGUGUUCACCACCGGUCGUUCACGACAUCAUUCCUCUCCCCCUUCAUUAUCUCUUACUAUGGCAGAAAAUACAAGACGGACUCGAAAAGGUACUUACAAUUUUUGUUUUCAAAUUCGUUGAUAUCUUGAAGCUUGCAUUAUUUGUUCUUAAUGUGUUUUAUUCGGCUCUGGUAAAUCUUAGGAUCCAAUUUCCAUAACUUCAGGUAUUCUCUAAGAUCCAAUUUCUAAAGCUUUAUAGGUUUGAAGUUAUGAUGAUUUUGUUGGUUAUUUAUAUUUUUUGGACUACAUUUUUUUUUCCUUUUCCAAUUUUUUUUAGUGGUUAGGUUUUUCGAAUGUUGAUUUUUGGAGUUUAUGUCAAUUUUGAAAUUUCAAUUUUUUUAUUUAUUUUACCUUGAAAUUGUGACGACAGUUUUAUUCAAUCCAUAAUUGACAACAUUAACGAAUAAUUGAAACUUGUAUUUUCGUUCAUAUUUCUAACAAAUUGUUUAUAUUCAUGUAUUUUUUUUAUAUUGAAACAUAUAGUUAGAAGUAGACCAAUAUCUAUUCUUUAUAUUAUUCAUUUGAUAAUUGAUUAUCUUUAUUUAUCAAACUCAAAACACUACAAAGGUUGAUUUUUCUUUAGUGCAUUUUAGGUCAAUGGAACAAAACACCUCUUUAUGUGGCUCUAACCUACAUGUUGUUGACAUGUUAUAUUGUUCUCCUUUUCUAUGUUUUGAGUUUUGUGCUUUAAUUAUGAAUCAACUUCAUUAAAUAUAGUUAUGUGAAUUAUUGAUGAGUGCCUUUUGUAGGACGUAUUUAUGGAUCAUAGUUGGAUGAGUGCUGAUAGAUUAAGUGAUGACUAUGAAAAUGUAGUGACAAAAUUCUUACAAUUUUCUAAAAGAAAUCUUUCAAAAAAUAAUACAAUUUUUCAAUGUCGUUGUGUAAAUUGUUCAAAUCAUAUACUACAACGAGUUGAUGACAUAAGAAAUCAUCUAAAUUAUGAAGGGAUUUACAAAAAUUAUACAAGAUGGACAUGUCAUGGUGAAAUUGUACCACCUCCAAAUGUGUCCCAAAGAGAGGAAGUUAGUGUAGAUAUGGAUGAUUGACUAUAAGAUAUGAUCCAUGCUAAUGGAUAAGAUUCUUUUAAGAGAGCACAUGUGUAUGAUAUUUUAUGUAGUGACAACGAAGAACCUUUGUAUUCGGGAUACAAAAAAUUUACAUGGUUGUCAACAUUGUUAAUAUUUUUUAAUUUGAAGGCAAAAAAGGUGGACUGAUAAAAGUUCAACUAAAUUGCUUGAAUUGUUGAAAGAUAUACUUCUAGAAGGUAACACAUUUUUAAACCGUAAUUACGAGAUCAAAAAGAUAUUGUGUCCGAUGGGUAUGGAUUAUAAGAAAAAACAUGGAUACCCCAAUGAUUGCAUAUUAUAUAGAAGAGAAUUUUAAAAUUUUACGCAUGCUACAAAGUGAAGGAUGGUGAAUCUUAUGAUGCUGGGAGCAUAAAAGGUCCUCUUGCAAAGGUGUUACGGUAGCUACCAAAAAUUCCAAUGUUCAACUUGUUCCUUAUUGUAAAUGAUGCCAAAAAAAAUAAAAAUAGAUGAAAUGCAUAAUAGAGAAAAUGUGAUGGACAUCUUCGCCAUCCACUUGAUUAUUUGCAAUGGAAGAAAAUGAAUUCUUUGUUUCCAUAUUUUGGCAGUGAGUCAAGAAAUCUUAUGCAUGGACUUGCUACUGAUGGAAUGAAUUCAUAUGAUAAUUUAAGUAGGGAUCAUAGUUCAUUGCCUAUUCUGCUUAUAAUUUACAACCUAUCUCAUUGGUUGUACAUGAAACACAAAUAUAUAAUAUUAUCUAUACUAAUAUAUGGCCAAAACAACUAGGAAAUGACAUUAAUGUUUAUCUUAGUCCAUUGAUUGAAGAUUUAAGAUUUCUAUGAGAGGAAGUGUAAGACCCAUAAUUUUAAAGUAUACUUUAUGUAUUUUAGUGUAUUUUGGUAUUGAACUCGGAGGCUUUUUAGUCAAAGUUAUUAAUAUUUUGGAGUUUAUAUGACCAAAGAGAUAUUUUGAUGGCGAUUAGAAUUACUCGUCGAUGAAUAAAUUAAAUUAGCUGCGGUGAAUCUUUUACGAAGAAUUUAACGCGUUAUAGGUGAAAUGGUAAUUUUAAUAAAUAUCUAGAUAUUUUGAGAUAUUUGUUAAUUAUUAUUAAUAUAUAUAAUGAGUAUAUGUUUGGAGGGAAAGGAAAAAGGAAGGAAAAGAAGAAAGAAAGGAAAAGAAAGAGAAGAUAAGUAAAGGAAAGAAAAACAAAAGAAGGAAAAACUAGAAAUUCUUCCUGUCUCUCCCUGCCUCGCGACUCUCUCCCUUUUCUUCUUCUUUGGUUUUGUUUUCUUUGCUUCCUUUAAGUUCGAGAAUUGAAACCCAAGGCUAGUGGGUGAGAAAGAUCAAGUUCCCAACUCCUUCCUCCUUCUCGGAUUCAAAAACGGAGUUAGGGAUUUCAAAACCGUCAAACACAAACCUCCCCGUUUCAUCUAGAUCUAAGCUUCGUUUCGCGAAGCGAUAGAAGGGAAAGUUGCUCACUACCACGCUACGGUGCUAGUGAACUAAAUUUGAAAGCGACGUUGCGAGCGGAGAUUUUACCGGAUUUACUCGCGGUACCGUUACCGAACGUUAAAGCUAACGUGAAGGUAAGUGCUCCUUCCAAACUUCUAGUUUGAAUUUAGGGACUUAUCUGUGGUUGUGUGGAAAGGAUUUUGUUAGGGUUGAAGUGUUGAUUUUGGGGGAAAAUGAAUCUAAGGCUUUAUGGGUAAAAUCUUAGAGUUAAGUUUUGGUUAUAUUGAUGAAUGUUUCGUGGAAAAUGAAUUUAAACUCAUUUAUGUAUGAUUUUGAGUAAAUAAAACUUGUUGUGUUUGAGUGGUGGAUUGUGUUGAUUUGUGUUCGUCGUAUUUGACGUGUUCUUAAUUAAUACUGAUGAAAUUUGUUGUGUGUAUGGUUGGAUUCUGUGGAGAAAUGAAUUGAUGUGUUUUGGUGUGGAUCGUGGAUUGAAUUUGAUAAUAUGUUUGAGUUUGUUUUGUGUGGAAUUUGGAAACCAUUAGAGUUAAACGAGUAUUAAGAAUGAGGAAUCUCUUAAUGUCUACGUUUACUUAAUGUUGUCGUGAAAAUCGUUUAAGUUAAACGAGUAUUAAGAAUGGGGAAUCUCUUAAUGUCUUGUUUACUUAAUGUUUGUUUUGAAAAUCGUUUAAGUUAAAUGAGUAUUAAGAAGGGGGAAUCUCUUAAUGUCUUGUUUACAUAAUGUUCGUUUUGAAAAUCGUUUAAGUUAAAAGAGUAUUAAGAAUGGGGAAUCUCUUAAUAUUUCUGUUUACUUAAUGUUUGCUUUGAAAAUCGUUUAAGUUAAAUGAGUAUUAAGAAUGGGGAAUCUCUUAAUAUUUCUGUUUACUUAAUGUUUGCUUUGAAAAUCGUUUAAGUUAAAUGAGUAUUAAGAAUGGGGAAUCUCUUAAUAUUUCUGUUUACUUAAUGUUUGCUUUGAAAAUCGUUUAAGUUAAAUGAGUAUUAAGAAUGGGGAAUCUCUUAAUAUUUCUGUUUACUUAAUGUUUGCUUUGAAAAUCGUUUAAGUUAAAUGAGUAUUAAAAAUGGGGAAUCUUUUAAUAUCUGCAUUUGCUUAACGAUUGUUGUGGAUGGAGUCAGUGUAUGCUCAUGCAUUUCAUUUUGGUAAAUCGUGCUGACCCGUGAUAGGUGGCACCUCGGUAAAUAGUACUUUGGCCUGUGAUAGGUAGUACAUUUACGAUUUACGUUUUUGGUAAGUUGUGCUAACCCGUGAUAGGUGGCACCUCGGUAAAUAGUACUUUGGCCUGUGACAGGCGGUACGCUUACCAUUUACGCUUUUUCUUUUAGUAAAUCGUGCUGACCCGUGAUAGGUGGCACCUCGGUAAACAGUACUGACCCGUGAUAGGUGGUACUUUUACGAUUUACGCUUUUUAGUAAAUUGUGCUGACCCGUGAUAGGUGGCACCUCGGUAAUUGGUACUUUGGCCUGCGAUAGGCGGUACAAUUAUGAUUUACGGCCCUUCGAGGAGGGUUUUGGUUUGGAAUUCCGAGUCCGUGCAUUUUGGCAUAUACGCAUUGCAUUAGGGUGCUUGGCACACGAGUCGUGUUUUGAUUCAAGUUUAUGAUUGAGUGUUUUGAAUUUGAGUUGUCGUGGGAAUUGUGUUUGUCCGUGAGAGACUGCACAGGUGUGUGUCCGUGAGAGACUACACCCUGAUAAAUUGUGUUUGUCCGUGAGAGACUGCACAUGUGUUUGUCCGUGAGAGACUACACCCUGGUAAAUUGUGUUUAUCCGUGAGAGACUGCACAUGUGUUUGUCCGUCAGAGACUACACCCUGGUAAAUUGUGUUUGUCCGUGAGAGACUGCACAGGUGUUUGUCAGUGAGGUCCGUGAGAGACUGCACAGGUGUUUGUCCGUGAGAGACUACACCCUGGUAAAUUGUGUUUGUCCGUGAGAGACUGCACAAGUGUUUGUCCGUGAGAGACUACACCCUGGUAAAUUGUGUUUGUCCAUGAGAGACUGCACUCGUGUUAGUUCGUGAGAAACUGUGCGUUUAGGAUUUACGCCUCUCAUGGAGGGUUUUGUUUGGAAUUGUGUGAUAGCAUGUUUGAUUGCAAAACUAUUUCGAAGCUCAUGAUGUUGUAGUGAUUGUGUUAUAAGUGCUAAGUGUUAUGUUUUGUUUGGAAUUGUGUGAUAGCAUGUUUGAUUGCAAAACUAUUUCGAAGCUCAUGAUGUUGUAGUGAUUGUGUUAUAAGUGCUAAGUGUUAUGUUUUGUUUGGAAUUGUGUGAUAGCAUGUUUGAUUGCAAAACUAUUUCGAAGCUCAUGAUGUUGUAGUGAUUGUGUUAUAAGUGCUAAGUGUUAUGUUUUGUUUGGAAUUGUGUGAUAGCAUGUUUGAUUGCAAAACUAUUUCAAAGCUCAUGAUGUUGUAGUGAUUGUGUUGAAAUUGCUAAGUGUUAUGUAUUGAUUAUUGUGUGUAAGUAUGAUGGGUUGUAAAACUAUAUCGAAACUCAAUUUGUCGUGGUGAUCGUGUGGGAAUUGCUAAGUGUUACGAUGUGGAAUUGUGUAUGAAUGUGAUUGAGUUAGUUUAUGUAUUUUUGGAAGAAUAUGCAGGGAAAUCGAUUUCCCAAUCGAUUGGAUGAGUUAUAGGAACUUCCCUAAUUUGACAUAACCGAUUUGCCAAUCGAUUUUAUAAAAUGUUUUUCAAAACAAUUUAAGAAAAUUGAUUUGGAAAUCGAUUUGGCCAUACAGGAAUUCAGCAAAACUGACAAAAUCGUUUUGGAAAUUGAUUGACAUUAAGUCAGGGGCUCAGCUAUUCUGUCAAUCGAUUGAUUUAAUCCCAGAGUGUAGAUUUCACUAAAAACCUUCAGGAAAUCGAUUGGCUUAGUAGAAAUUCUUAUUUUGAGUUAGAUAACAGAUUGCUCAAUUGAUUUAUCAAUGUCUUGGUUAGUUAUGUAUUACUUGAUGGAUUGAGAACUUUAUUUUGAUUUCAUUUUUAAUUGGCAAGCAUUAUAUGAACUUUUCGCAUAUGGAAAAUCCUUUUAAGGUGCAUGCUAAGUUGAAAGGUUAUUUUGUGCAUUUAAAAACUUAAAUGUUAUGUAUUUAUUGUUAAUUUCGGUUGGUGACCCUUUACAACUAUUGUGGAAAUCUGGGCUUUGCCCUCAAAUGAGAGCCAGGACGAUCCUACCGGUUCGUACCCUACGGGUGGGAAUGUAGAUGGGAAUGCUUGACUGGAGCUAUGUUAGGAGGAUCUCACGGGGCGCGUGGAGAUCACUCACGGUGUAUAGCUAUAGUUUUUUUUGAAGAAUUAUCAGAUUAGGAUGACAUAGAGGGAACAAAUGUUUUUUGGAUUACGUUAUUUUGAACUGAAAAACUGUACCUUUACUAAUAUUGUCAGUAUGACAUGUUAUUUUCGUUGGGUUACAUGUACCACUUUUUGAUGUGUAAAUACUUUGGAUUCAUAUUUUGAGAAACUUUUCCGCUGCUUGUAAAUUAUAAUGACUCAAUUAUUUAUCCAAAGGUAUUUCCUUAUUUGUUUUCUCUGUUUUAUUUUAAUUUCUUUUGAAAAAAAAAUACACCAUCGCUUUGAAAAUCGGGGUGUUACAGGAAGGCGUUGAUGUUCUUGAUGUGUAUUCCCAUGAGUAUUUCAAGAUACGUGUCAUGUUGUUUUGCACAACCAAUGACUUUUUGAUAUAUAGUAAUUUGUGUGGAUAGAGUUAAGGGCUAUAAAGUGUGUCCUAUUUGUAAAGAAGAUACAUGUUAUAAUCAACUGAAACAUGGCAGGAAGACCAUGUAUCUUGGGCAUAAAAAAAUUCUAAGAAAACGAUCAUCCAUAUUGUAGAAUGUGAAAAGCUUUUAAUGGACAAUAUGAGAAUGGUGUCGCUCUGAAGCCCUUAGCUGAAGAGGAAGUAUAUUAGCACAAGAACACAUUAAUGUUAGCUUCGAAAGAACCAAAAGCAGGAUGCUGCGAAAAUUAUAUGGAAGAAGAAGUAGGUGUUCUUUGAUCUAUCAUAUUGGUCUAGCCUCGAUGUAAGACAUUAUAUUGAUGUGAUGCACGUUGAAAAAAAUGUGUGCAAUAAUGUAAUCAGAAAGCUACUCAAAAUUCAAGGCAAGAUAAAAUAUGGUAUAAAUGCUCAUUUAGAUUUGGCUGAGAUGGAUAUACGACAAUAGUUAGCUCCACAAAAAAUUGAUAAUCGAACAUAUUUACCUCUAGCAUGUCACACUUUAUUGAAAAAAGAGAAAAUAAGUUUUUGUAAGUGUUUGCAGGGUAUCAAAGUGUCGCAAGGUUAUUCAUAAAAUGUCAAGAGACUUGUAUCAAUGAAAAAUCUCAAAUUAAUUGGUUUAAAAUAUCAUGAUUGUCAUGUCUUGAAGCAACAACUAUUACUAGUGGAUAUUCUUGGCAUCUUGCCUAAAAAGGUUAGGCGAACUAUAACUAGAUUGUGCUUAUUCUUCAAUGCUAUAUGUAUUAAAGCCAUUGAUCCAAAAAAGUUCGAUGAGUUGGAAGUUGAGGCUGCAAUUAUAUUGUGUCAAUUGGAGAUAUAUUUCCUCCUUUAUUUUUUUGACAUUAUGGUUCACUUAAUUGUUCAUUUAGUGAAGAAGAUUAGAUUGUGCGGUCCUGUUUUAUUUCAGGUGGAUUUAUCUAGUACAAUGAUACAUGAAUAUCCUGAAAGGGUAUAUGAAGAAUCCACCCUGUCCAAAAGCAUUGAUUGUGGAAAGGUACGUUACAUAAGGAACCAUUGAGUUUUGUGAAGAUUAUAUGUUUGAAGUAGAUGUUAUAGGAAUUCGUAAGUCUAUUCAUGACAGAAGAUGUGAAGGUAAGGGUACACACAAGGUUUCAAUGUUAAGACCAUGAAUAAGGAUAUGAUUCUUCAAGCACAUUUGUAUAUUUUGAAUAACAAUAAUGAAGUUCAACCUUAUUUAUUUGCUCAAAAAUCAUUGUCUAGGAGAAAAACCCUCGGAUGAAUGAAAGAUCGUUGUUGAACGAGCAUAAUAGGAGUUUCUUAGAUUGGUUUAAUGAACGAAUUGAUAAUGAUGAUAGUGCUUUUGAAAAAAUUAAAUGGUUGGCAUAUGGGCGUAAGUACAACGUAAUAACUUGGAGAGCAUAUGAUAUCAAUAAAAUUUUCUCCUAUACAAAGUUAAAGAAUGACAAAAGUACCAUGCAAAAUAGCGGGGUUAUGGUUGUCGCUGAAUCUUUGGGCUUCUCUAGUUCCAAAGAUAUAAACCUAUAAUGGCGAAUACAUCGUAUGGAAGGGUCAUUGAAUAGAUUUGGGAGGUUGAUUAUGUUAAGUUUAAAGUGCAUGCAUUUAAAUACAAGUGGGUUGACAGUAAUAGCGAUGUUCAAAUGGAUGAAUUAGGAUUUACAAUGGUUGACUUAUAUGAACGAACCUUUCAUAAUGGUAUUGAAAGUAACACAAAUGUUUUAUGUCACUAAUCCUUCUAACAAUAGGUGGCUAGUGGUUCAUCAAGGAAAAAACAUGAAUGAUAAGUGAUGAAAAUCAAGAUUUAAUGUUUGAUAUUUAUGAUGCUUCAUUUUUCUCAACACAUGUGUUUACUUUAAUUGAAGAAAAUGAAGAGGGUGAUAUACCCUCUAUUCGUGAUAACCAUCAAGAAGGGAUAUGGUAUAACCAAUAAGUAAAUAUAUAUUUUUUAUUAUUUAUCUAUGAUUUAUACAUAAUAUUAUUGUGUUCAUAGAUAAAUGGAUGAUUCAUCUGAAUGAUACAUUCAAUGUCCUUUCUCUAAAUGACAGGUUGGUCAAUAAGGACAAACAAAGAAAGACUAGAUGUACCACAAUGAUGAAAUCUUUGGUCAAAGUUCGUGCAUUAGAUAUUAAGUUGCAAAUCCAUUUUGAUCCACUCACUUGCAAAUUUUUGGUGUAAAUUCAACCAAAUUUAGAAGUUAUGUGGCAUAAAUUUAGAAGUUAUGAGACCAUGUAACAUUAGAAAUGAAAUACCAAAUUUGAGAGGAUGUUAAAGG